GACGAACGCUGGCGGCGUGCUUAACACAUGCAAGUCGAACGGAAAGGCCCUGCUUUUGUGGGGUGCUCGAGUGGCGAACGGGUGAGUAACACGUGAGUAACCUGCCCUUGACUUUGGGAUAACUUCAGGAAACUGGGGCUAAUACCGGAUAGGAGCUCCUGCUGCAUGGUGGGGGUUGGAAAGUUUCGGCGGUUGGGGAUGGACUCGCGGCUUAUCAGCUUGUUGGUGGGGUAGUGGCUUACCAAGGCUUUGACGGGUAGCCGGCCUGAGAGGGUGACCGGCCACAUUGGGACUGAGAUACGGCCCAGACUCCUACGGGAGGCAGCAGUGGGGAAUAUUGCACAAUGGGCGGAAGCCUGAUGCAGCAACGCCGCGUGCGGGAUGCCGGCCUUCGGGUGGUAAACCGCUUUCGCCUGUGACGAAGCGUGAGUGACGGUAAUGGGUAAAGAAGCACCGGCUAACUACGUG
rnacentral:rRNA from 1 species